rnacentral:rRNA from 1 species
GACGAACGCUGGCGGCGUGCUUAACACAUGCAAGUCGAACGGAAAGGCCCUGCUUUUGUGGGGUGCUCUGGUGGCGAACGGGUGAGUAACACGUGAGUAACCUGCCCUUCCCUUUGGGAUAGCUUCAGGGAACUGGGGCUAAUACCGGAUAGGAGCUCCUGCUGCUUGGUGGGGGUUGGUAAGUUGCGGCGGUUGGGGAUGGACUCGCGGCUUAUCAGCUUGUUGGUGGGGUAGUGGCUUAGCAAGGCUUCGACGGGUAGCCGGCCUGAGAGGGUGACCGGCAACAUUGGGACUGAGAUACGGCGCAGACGCGUACGGGAGGCAGCAGUGGGGAAUAUUGCACAAUGGGCGCAAGCCUGAUGCAGCAGCGCCGCGUGCGGGAUGACGGCCUUCGGGUUGUGAACCGCUUUCGCCUGUGAUGAAGCGUGAUUGACGGUAACGGGUAAAGAAGCACCGGCUAACUACGUG